ACUGCCACAGUUCAAAGAAUCACUUUAGAGUAGACGUCCCACCUCUGAGCUCUUUAAAAGAGCCACAGAAUCUCCACCCUUGCUGAUGACUGCUAUGUCCUCGAUGCCCUUAAGUGAAGCCGUUUUACUUCCGACUCGACCUUGUUUAUCACACGCUUUCGAUACGACGCUGCCUCUGGCGGUGCUUGUUCGGGGUGCUGUCGAUUUGCUCUGGUCCAGGGAGUGGUGAUGAUCUUAACCUUUUCUCGAUGUCAGACUUCGGUCGGUCGGACUUGGUGGGUGUCGAGGAGGUCUGAAAGGU
rnacentral:snoRNA from 1 species